GACGAACGCUGGCGGCGUGCUUAACACAUGCAAGUCGAACGGAAAGGCCCUUCGGGGUACUCGAGUGGCGAACGGGUGAGUAACACGUGGGUGAUCUGCCCUGCACUUUGGGAUAAGCCUGGGAAACUGGGUCUAAUACCGAAUAGGACCACGGCCUUCAUGGGUUGUGGUGGAAAGCUUUUGCGGUGUGGGAUGGGCCCGCGGCCUAUCAGCUUGUUGGUGGGGUAAUGGCCUACCAAGGCGACGACGGGUAGCCGGCCUGAGAGGGUGACCGGCCACACUGGGACUGAGAUACGGCCCAGACUCCUACGGGAGGCAGCAGUGGGGAAUAUUGCACAAUGGGCGCAGGCCUGAUGCAGCGACGCCGCGUGAGGGAUGACGGCCUUCGGGUUGUAAACCUCUUUCACCAGGGACGAAGCGUAAGUGACGGUACCUGGAGAAGAAGCACCGGCCAACUACGUGCCAGCCGCCGCGGUAACAC
rnacentral:rRNA from 1 species